CUAUCAAGCGUACGAGCAAUCAUAUUCGUUUGUCGCUUUAUAAAUUUUAUCACAAAGUUUGGAUUUGACAUCAAAACACGUUUAAUAUUACAAAGUUUUGAUUUAAUGAUAAUUCUAAUUUCAAUAAUUGGGGUUUUCACACUAUAAAGUGAUCAUACAAUUGUCAAAUUUUACAAGCAAACAAAGCAAAUUAUGGCUAAAAUUCUCAAGUUUUUUCAAAUUAUGUUUACUUUUCUUUUUAUAUUUACCAUUGUAAUCGAAUGCCUCCCUGAAUAUAAUCACUUUCAUAAGUGUUAUAAUGACAAUUCUUGCCCUAAAACUAUGUGUAUACCUCCUAGAGUUCCAAAGUGCAUAAGGAAGUCUUGUCGAUGUAUUUAGAAUUGAAUCCCAUCCUCGACAAUUAUAAAAAUGACCAUUAGUGCUACCAUUGUUGAUAAUAAUUGUGCCUUCUCCACUUUUUGAUCAAGUUCAAAAAUAUAUUUGUGGUACUUCUAAAAGUAUAAUUUUAUAUGUAAUUGUAAUGUUGGUA